CCUACGGGCGGCAGCAGUGAGGAAUAUUGGUCAAUGGCCGGAAGGCUGAACCAGCCAUGCCGCGUGAAGGUCAGUGCCCUAUGGGCGUUAAACCUCUUUUGUGCGGGAGCAAUAAUGGUCACGUGUGGCCAGACGAGAGUACCGUACGAAUAAGCAUCGGCUAACUCCGUGCCAGCAGCCGCGGUAAUACGGGGGAUGCAAGCGUUAUCUGGAUUUAUUGGGUUUAAAGGGUGCGUAGGCUGUGAGGUAAGUCAGCGGUGAAAUGCCCCGGGUCAACGGGGUGAAGUGCCAUUGAUACUGCCUUGCUGGAAUGCGGAUGCCGUAGGAGGAAUGUGUGGUGUAGCGGUGAAAUGCAUAGAUAUCACACAGAACACCGAUUGCGAAGGCAUCUCACGAAUCCGCGAUUGACGCUGAUGCACGAAAGCGUGGGUAUCAAACAGGAUUAGAUACCCCUGUAGUC
rnacentral:rRNA from 1 species